rnacentral:rRNA from 1 species
UGGGGAAUAUUGCACAAUGGGCGAAAGCCUGAUGCAGGGACGCCGCGUGAGGGAUGACGGCCUUCGGGUUGUAAACCUCUUUCAGUAGGGACGAAGCGCAAGUGACGGUACCUGCAGAAGAAGCACCGGCUAACUACGUGCCAGCAGCCGCGGUAAUACGUAGGGUGCGAGCGUUGUCCGGAAUUACUGGGCGUAAAGAGCUCGUAGGCGGUUUGUCACGUCGUCUGUGAAAUCCUAGGGCUUAACCCUGGACGUGCAGGCGAUACGGGCUGACUUGAGUACUACAGGGGAGACUGGAAUUUCUGGUGUAGCGGUGGAAUGCACAGAUAUCAGGAAGAACACCGAUGGCGAAGGCAGGUCUCUGGGUAGUAACUGACGCUGAGGAGCGAAAGCAUGGGUAGCGAACAGG